UUUCUUCUUCCUCUCAUCUCACAUUGCUUUCAUCGUCCAUGAAAGCUUGAUAUGAAAGCUCUAUAACCUCCCUUAAAAUAACUCCACUUUUCAUGCCUUGGUGCACUCCUUUCAUAAACCCUUGUGCUAUUCCACUCUCUCACUUUAAAACCCUUGAAAAACCUUAUUUCCAUACUCUCUCUCACUAGUUAGGUGUUUUAGAGAGAGAAAAAGGAAGCCUUGAUAAUAGCUUGAAAGUUUUUGGGAAGAAUUUCAAAUAUAAGCUAUCAAGGUGAGUAGUACACUAAAAUUGAGUUUUAAUAUUGAAAAUGAUUAGUGUUUAGACUUGGGGGUGAUUUGGUAGUUGGGGUUAUUCAUUCACUUUAAAGUGAUUAAGAUAGUGAACUUAGAUAGCCACUUAAAUGGCAAUUUGAAAGCUAGCUAAGAGAAAGCUUUUAGAAUUUGUAAGUAUGUGGCUUGAAUUAAUGGUGAUGCUAAUGUGAUAAUAGGUUCCAACGAAGCCCCAUCGCCCCAUUUGGACAAUUAGAGAAGUAGAGUUGACUAAAGGUUCAACAAGAUACCGGUGAGUGAACUUGCAUUUCAAAACUGUUUUGGGAAUGUGAAUGCAUUUGUACAAUGCCUUUGAAUGAGUUUAUUCAACUUUUCUUAAAAAUGGGUACCUUGGGAACAAGCUUUAAAUUAUUGUCUUUAUAUAUAUGACAUGUGGCUGUUAUGGAUUCUUAUUACAUGUCAUUGUGUUGAUAUACAUAUAUGUUGUGCAUUGAUGGCUGACAUGGUGUGAUAAUGAUAACCGUGCGUGUGCACGAUGUGGGGGGAUGCACAUGCCAGUGAUAACGGUGGUGAGGGUGUUAGAUGAUGAAAGUGCCCGUGUGCACGAUGUGGGGGGAUGUACACGAUGGCACUAAUUGUGCACGAUGUAGGGGGAUGCACACGAUGACUCCGGCUAUGUGCACGAUGUGGGGGGAUGCACGUGAGCUGGAUAAGAUGAUAGUGGUAUUGGUAUUUAUCCAUGUAUGUAUAUGUAUAUAUGUUUAGAGAAUGAAAACUCAUGGAUAUGGGUUAUGGUUGAAAUGCAUAUGCAUUUUGCACGUUGAACUUUGGGAAAUUGUUUGUGUUUCAUGUUGUUUUUAUCAUUUUAGCAGGAUGGUUUUUUCUUGAAAGAAAGGAAACCUUUUUCUUGGUGCUCUGUUUCUCGCUGCAGCGAGAAUGCCUUUUCGCUACAGCGAGAAACUCUCGAGUUUAAGGGCCUUCACCUGACCUGGUUCUCGCUGCAACGAGAAUGCAUUCUUGCUGUAGCAAGAAAGUUAUUAUAGCUUCUCGCUGCAGCAAGAAACGUUCUGUUUUGGCCAAGUGAAACUCACUGCAGUGAGAAACCUUCUGUCCAUUUUGCUAUCUUGUGGGUUUUUACCCUUUUUUUUCAUUUCAUUUAUACCCUAAUUGAGCAUGGACUUCCAACAUGUUUGGGGAUUAUCUAAUUAAGUUUGGAAUGAGGAAAUUUUGAGAAAAACCCUCGGUCGGUUGAGAAUGCCUUUCCGCUGCAAUGAGGACCCAUCGCUUAUUUGACUUGAUUCGCAUGAAUACUAUUAAAGUUUUCACUCUCCAAAUCCUUUGUUGGGCAUAGACCCUUUUCAUAAAGUGAUUUACUCAUGUGGGGUUUACAUGAGGGGUUUUAAUAAGAACUAAAACAAAUUGCAUUGUUUUGAAAAAUGAAUGCAUCAUGAUUUCGUUAAACAUUCCUUAUUGUUUGCUUGUUCCCUUCUUGUUCACUCACUGGGUUUAUACUCACCAUUUUCAACUUCAUGUUUUUAGAUCAAGAGGUAGCUGGUAACUAGGUCGAGGUGUCUUCGUAUACUCAACCCUUGGUAGGUGUCUCGGCAUUCAAUAGCUGUACAUUUGUCUGAGUUUCUCCGCUAGAAGUCAAGUACUCUUUUGUUGUGUAUAGACAAACCGAUGUAAAUUAUUACAUUAUAUGUUUAAACCAUAUGUGUACACUUUGAUUGGUAUGCCACUAUGAGUUGGCAAUGUUUAGUAUUAUUUUGAUUCAAAAUUAUGAAAUGUGACAUAGUAACUUUUGAUGGAAUGGUGAACGGGUCAUAUUAAUAGGCUUGCUUAGGCUUAGUGGACUACGUUCAUUGGGCCCAUGAGCCGGUCAUGGCCCAGAAUUUGGGUCGUGACAUUAUAUGUAUGUAUAUAAUGGUUGAUGAUGCCAUUAUGAGUACAUGACUGGGCUUUAUGAGUUGUUUUCAAAGGAAUUGUAAUUUAGCAUUAUGAAUUUCGAAUUCUAAAGGAAUAUGGAUUAACGUAUAAGAUCAUGUAAGUAGGCUUGCUUGGGCUUGGUGGGCUGAGCCCAUUGGUCCCUUGCGCCGAUCAUGGCUCGAAAAUUGGGCUGUGACACAAAGUUGUAAAUGAAAGCUUAAAAAUUAGAGUAUGAAAACUUAUGAAAAUAAAGUAUGAAGCUAGAAAAGAAAAUGAAAAAGGAAAGAGCACUUAGCCAUGAUUUUAUAGAGGUUUAGCCCAUAAAGUCUACAUCCUCUCCCUUGAUAGCACAAAGUGUUUGAAUCCAAUUACCACUACCCUUUAAACCAGCUUCAGGCAUAACUUUCAACACACUACCUUUUCUUAUGGAGGCAUAACCUUGCUUUACCUUUACUAUGGAGGUAUAAUCUUUCUCUACCUUUUACAAUGGAGGUACAACCUUACAGUACCUUUUACAAAUGAGGUACAACCUAAUACUAGCUUUUACAAUUGAGGUAUAACCUUACACUACCUUUUACAAUGGAAGUAUAACUUUUCAACGAUGGAUUCUUACAAGUUUGCACAGCUUAAGACCUCAAAAAGCUGAUAAGCUAAGCUGAGCACAAGAGAAUGAGGAUAUUUCAGAGAACAAGGACCAAAAGAUGAAGGUUCUUUUCAAAGAAUAUGUUGUAGAGAGAGAAAAAGAACGAAUUUUAAAAAUUUCAACUUUCUUCUACUCUUAAAAUGAUUUUCUUUCUUUCUUCUCUUGUUUCUCUUAUUGAAUGAUGUUUUUCACAUAGGUAUUUAUAGUGUUUUUUUUUUAUUUUUUUCCCAUUAGGGUGGAUUUUGUCUUAUUAUUGAAUGUUGGGACCACUUGAGUCACACUAGUUGAACUUCAAGAAUCAAUCUGUAGAAAUGUGAAAUAUCAAUUCUUUUAUGUCCCAAACCUUUCUGUUUUUUGAGAAUUGAUCUUCCAUUAUUGAGAUAUUGAUUCUUCUCAUCUUAUUUUAAAGUUAGUAACUUUUUAAUUUUCUAAGAAUCGAUCUUGGCUCUCCUGGUAUCGAUUCUUCUUUCAUGUUAGGUGCCAAAAUCUAAAUUCAAAUUGCUUUUUCUCACUCUAUUCUUGUCUUUUUUCCCAUCUUUUCUACUUUUCCAAGUUUUUGAUUUUUCUCUUUGUAGCUUCAGGAAUCGAUUUCUUGAUGCUCAAUUAGCUUAUUCUUGUUUUUAAGUGACUUUCCAAAUUACUUCUUCUUUCUUAGGAAUCAACCUUUACUUCUUCUGACGUUGAUUUUUUUCUUCUACUAGCUUUUUUAUCUUCACAAAUUGAUGUUUCCUUUUCAAAGAAGUCGAUUCUUUUUAUUCCAAAAAAGAAAUAUUGCUUUCUAGUUUACAGAGAACUGAUUCUUCACUUUUAGAAGUCGAUUCUAAUAAAUAGAACUUAAAGAAACAACUUCAAAACUCUUUAAGGAUCGUUCUUCAAGUUCAAAAUCAUUUUCACUUAGUUUUAAAGCAUAUUUAGAUCGUUAAAUUUUUUCAUUUCAAAACUUGGCUCAAUUAUAAAGCUAAUAGUUUGUUUUUAGCAUUACUACAUUAUUGUAUAUGAGGUAUCGAAUCUUAUAUCUUUUAUGAUCCAUUCAAGAUUUCACUACCCUCUUACACUAUCCUUGGAGCUUUACUUUGAAGCUCCAUCUACUCACUAACUUCCUAAUUUGAUGUGAUCAUAAUUUUAGAUUUUGUCCCAUGAAAUAGCUCAAACUUGUUAAAGGUAACAUCUGACUCAUAUUGAACUUGAAGGAUAUCAGAUCAUUACACCAUAAUCAAUAACCCUUCAUCCUACAUUCAUAAAUAAGGAAUAUGCAUUUCUUAACCCUUGAGCCGCGUCUCUAGCUUACCAUCAUUCACAUGAGUAUUGAUAACUCCAUUAUAUAGAGUUAUUUUGUCACAUUUUAGAGGCUUAAGUAGCUAAGUCUUUGAGAUUUUAGGUUCAAAUUGAGUAUUUUAGUUAUUUUUCUUAAUUAAGUUUGAUGCAUGUUGAGUAGUGUAGUUUAAUUUAUUUUAGUUAAAUUUUAUAUUAUAUUGCUUUAAGUUACUUUAAUUUUAGUUAUUGUUGAUUGCUUUUAUGGCUUUUGUAAGAAAUUUUAUGAAAAAGCCUCAUUUGGUGAUAAUCGGUGCAAGUAUGUUGAUAGCUUUGUUUGUACAUGUUAUAGUAUUUCGAGCAUAACUUUCGCUACAGAGGUCUAAUUGAUGUGAUUCUUGAACCAUUGAAAAUCGAAGAGACAGGGCUCCAACUUUCAUGCACCACAUUGCCCAUAUCAGCCUGGAAGAAGGAGAAAAUGUCUUACAAGAUGAAGUAGUGCAAUAGAGACAACAUAAGAAAAUACAUCCCAUACAUUGACCCAAGAGUGGGGGGAAGGCAACGGUGUUCAAAUGUGUUUCCAAACAUAUGUUUUUAUGGGAAUUUUGAACCUAGGAUGCUUUAGGAGUAUUAAAGGGGCUUUUUUUAGAGGUUUUAAAGGGAGAUAAAGAGUAGUUAUUAUAAAGAAAAAGAGCAAAAAACAAAGCAAGAAAGCAAGAGAAUUCAAGAAAGAUUUGAGAUUCAAAAGCUUCAUAUUCUUAGUUUCUCACUCAACUUUUUUUUCUCUUACUUUAUUUAACUUGGAUUAAUGGUUAAUUUUC
rnacentral:lncRNA from 1 species